UACAGGUGCAUAGUCCCUUAAGAAGAUUACCAUGGAAGAAACUAACUGGAAUCUUCCAGGAGCUUGCUACCCAAAAUCAAAUGUUAAAUAUACACAUCUUAAGAUCAACAGCUGGAAUUACUGAUCAUUUGCUAUGGAGUCAACUUGUGUCAUGACAACCAUGUUCUCUGAAGUCAAAGGAGUGAGAAGAGAUCUAAACCGUCUAUUAUCUAAGAACGCCUGGCAACCUAUGGGGUCAAUUGGCUGUCAUUGGUCAUGAACAGGUUGUCUAAAAAUUGAUGGACAGGAAUGCCAGAAAACUAUUAUUUCUAAGAAAAUGGGUGA